GAUGAACGCUGGCGGCGUGCCUAAUACAUGCAAGUCGAGCGAACAGACGAGGAGCUUGCUCCUCUGACGUUAGCGGCGGACGGGUGAGUAACACGUGGAUAACCUACCUAUAAGACUGGGAUAACUUCGGGAAACCGGAGCUAAUACCGGAUAAUAUAUUGAACCGCAUGGUUCAAUAGUGAAAGACGGUUUUGCUGUCACUUAUAGAUGGAUCCGCGCCGCAUUAGCUAGUUGGUAAGGUAACGGCUUACCAAGGCAACGAUGCGUAGCCGACCUGAGAGAGUGAUCGGCCACACUGGAACUGAGACACGGUCCAGACUCCUACGGGAGGCAGCAGUAGGGAAUCUUCCGCAAUGGGCGAAAGCUUGACGGAGCAACGCCGCGUGAGUGAUGAAGGUCUUCGGAUCGUAAAACUCUGUUAUUAGGGAAGAACAAAUUUGUAAGUAACUAUGCACGUCUUGACGGUACCUAGUCAGAAAGCCACGGCUAACUACGUG
rnacentral:rRNA from 1 species